UACAGAGGAUGCAAGCGUUAUCCGGAAUGAUUGGGCGUAAAGCGUCUGUAGGUGGCUUUUCAAGUCCGCCGUCAAAUCCCAGGGCUCAACCCUGGACAGGCGGUGGAAACUGCCAAGCUGGAGUAAGGUAGGGGCAGAGGGAAUUUCCGGUGGAGCGGUGAAAUGCGUAGAGAUCGGAAAGAACACCGGUGGCGAAGGCGGGUCUCUGGGCAAUUCCUGACGCUGAGGCGCGAAAGCGUGGGGAGCAAACGGG
rnacentral:rRNA from 1 species